rnacentral:rRNA from 1 species
UACGUAGGGUGCAAGCGUUUGUCCGGAAUUAUUGGGCGUAGAGAGCUCGUAGGCGGUCUGUCGCGUCUGCUGUGAAAACUCAGGGCUUAACCCUGAGCUUGCAGUGGGUACGGGCAGACUAGAGUGCGGUAGGGGAGACUGGAAUUCCCGGUGUAGUGGUGAAAUGCGUAGAUAUCGGGAGGAACACCAGAGGCGAAGGCGGCGACCUCGGACAGUCACUGACACUCAACUGCGAAAGCGUGGGGAGCAAACAGGAUUAGAAACCCGA